rnacentral:rRNA from 1 species
AUUGAACGCUGGCGGCAGGCUUAACACAUGCAAGUCGAGCGAGCGGCGGACGGGUGAGUAAUGUCUGGGAAACUGCCUGAUGGAGGGGGAUAACUACUGGAAACGGUAGCUAAUACCGCAUACCAUCAGAUGUGCCCAGAUGGGAUUAGCUAGUAGGUGGGGUAAUGGCUCCCCUAGGCGACGAUCCCUUGCUGGUCUGAAAGGAUGAACAGCCACACGUGAACUGAGACACGGUCCAGACACCUACGGGAGGCAGCAGUGGGGAAUAGUGCACAAGGGGCGCAAGCCUGAUGCAGCCAUGCCGCGUGUGUGAAGAAGGCCUUCGGGUUGUAAAGCACGUUCAGCGAGGAGGCGUUACUCGCAGAAGAAGCACCGGCUAACUCCGUGCCAGCAGCCGCGGUAAUAC